GGGGAUGUAGCUCACAUGGUAGAGCGCUCGCUUUUCAUGCGAGAGGUACGUGAUUCGAUACCCUACAUCUCCA
rnacentral:tRNA from 1 species